rnacentral:lncRNA from 1 species
AUUAUAGACACUCCACACACACACACACACACACACACACACACACACACACACACACACACACACACACACACACACACACACACACACACACACACACACACACGACACACACACACACACGACGUACGUACGUACGUACGUACGUAAGUGCACACACACACACCAGGGUUGCUCAGGUACUUUAGAAAGUGUAAUCAGACAGGUCUCGGUCGAUAUGUGAACACUGAUGUUACAUUUUAAUAACCCAUGAAAGGGUUUGACAUUUUCUCUUUGAGCUGCGCUUACAGCAGUGUCUCAGCAGCACAGCCACGAACCACGAGUCAGCGAUCAGUCAUCACUCUUUCUAUCUGUUUCAGAAAGAGAAAGACUACAUUUGAAGUACACUAGCAGUCAAGAGUUGUUUUUGAAUAAAAUCUCUUCUCCUCACCAAGACUGCAAUUAUCUGAUACAUUUUAUUUUUCAGGAUUCACAGAUGAAUAGAAAGUUCUAAAGAACAGUAUUUUUCUGAAAUGUUUUGUAACAUUAUAAAUGUCUUUACUGUCACUUCUGAGCAAUUUAACACACCCCAGAGUUUCCUCAAAAACAUUGUGCAGCACAACUCUUUGAAAAGAAUCAUGAGAGAUGAGACUGAGAUGCAUGUGUUGAUGUCAGAUGGAGCCCAGCACAGGUCAGAGGUCAGGGGUCAGGGGUCAGGGGUCGAGCUCAGACAAACACAGCAGCAGUGUGAGAGUCCACGAGAGCCUGUGGAUUUACCAAAAUAAUGUCUGACAAGAUUCAGCCUCCUGGAGCCUGACAGAAGAGGAUCCGAAGCACACUGCAGAAUCACGCAGGAGUUUCUAAAGAAGAGAAAAAGUGAAACCUCUGUCCUGCCAAGUAUGCAGUAAGACUUCAAUCCUGUGGUGCUGUAAUGAGACAGACAGAACAACAAACCUUUAAGGAAAGAGCAGCUGAGAAACAAACUCUCCAUUAAUAAAGCAGAAUGAUCAAAUCUGAGUCUGUCAUCAAAAUAAAGAAGUACACUACUGUUCAGCUGAUCAUAUGAGUGAUAUCACACGCUUCUGCUGAAUACUGUGCAUGGAUCUUAAAGACUGCACUCUACUGGCAGCGCACAAUGCUAGUCUUGAUGUGAACAAUUAAUCCAUGCAGGUUAAUCAGCUGAAAAAAUAAAAAAUUGUUUGUUUUGGCAAUCUUUAAUCAAACUCCGAACAUUUACUUCCGCUCUGGAAUGGCAUUCCUUCUCUGAUGACGUCACUUCGACGGCUUGGGCUGGACAUUCU